AAAAGAUCAUUUGAUGGUUUUCUGUACCGUAGUUGCCGAGUUAUCAGCAAUCCGUAGAUCGCUCUCUUACUGUUUCUUCUGCAAUGACUUUUGCUCGAGUUCCCGCCACUUGUUGAUUGCAACUGUGCAAAUAAAUCCGGCACCGACGAAAUAGAGCAAUCGAAGAACCUUUGUGCUAGCAGGGCCAAUCCUCAUCUCUUCUCUC
rnacentral:lncRNA from 1 species